UACGUAGGUGGCAAGCGUUGUCCGGAUUUACUGGGCGUAAAGAGCGCGCAGGCGGUCGUUCAAGUCGCGUGUGAAAGCCCCCGGCUCAACUGGGGAGGGUCACGCGAUACUGAUCGACUCGAAGGCAGGAGAGGGUAGUGGAAUUCCCGGUGUAGUGGUGAAAUGCGUAGAUAUCGGGAGGAACACCAGUGGCGAAGGCGACUACCUGGACUGUUUCUUGACGCUGAGGCGCGAAAGCUAGGGGAGCGAACAGG
rnacentral:rRNA from 1 species